AUUGAACGCUGGCGGCAUGCCUUACACAUGCAAGUCGAACGGUAACAGGUCUUCGGAUGCUGACGAGUGGCGAACGGGUGAGUAAUACAUCGGAACGUGCCUAGUAGUGGGGGAUAACUACUCGAAAGAGUGGCUAAUACCGCAUGAGAUCUACGGAUGAAAGCAGGGGAUCGCAAGACCUUGUGCUACUAGAGCGGCCGAUGGCAGAUUAGGUAGUUGGUGGGAUAAAAGCUUACCAAGCCGACGAUCUGUAGCUGGUCUGAGAGGACGAUCAGCCACACGGGGACUGAGACGCGGCCCAGACUCCUACGGGAGGCAGCAGUGGGGAAUUUUGGACAAUGGGCGCAAGCCUGAUCCAGCAAUGCCGCGUGCAGGAUGAAGGCCUUCGGGUUGUAAACUGCUUUUGUACGGAACGAAAAGCCCUGGGUUAAUACCCUGGGGUCAUGACGGUACCGUAAGAAUAAGCACCGGCUAACUACGUGCCAGCAGCCGCAGUAACAC
rnacentral:rRNA from 1 species